AUUGAGCUGAUUGCAUGACAUUGGACGGCAGGAGACCUAAACUUGGACUUGGUUCUACCUCUAGAAGCUACAGGUAGGUUGGUAGGCAAAUCUUUGCUUGUCUGAGAGUCCUUAUAGUCUAAGGAAAAUCAUUUAUUAACUCAUUCUUCUGAAAGCUAAUUUCUGUAUACUAGCUACAUGUCUGGUGUCAAAGCACGUAUAGGAGAUAAAAAGAGAAGCCCUACCAAUUCCUGCAAGAGUUCACCGUCUGGAAAAUGUUCAUGGAGCCAAUAAAUAAUUCAGUAGUUUUCCAUGGACACGUUAAUGAAAACUUGCAUUUUAUUAUACCUGCAGUGGAUAUCGGCUUGCUGUUUUACUUAAAAGUAAGUCUGACUGUAACUAAUAGAAAAAAUGAAAUGAUAAUGGCUUUAACAAUAUAGAAGUUUAUUCUUUGUAAUGGACAGGAG
rnacentral:lncRNA from 1 species